AGGUCUGGGGUGUAAGUACGGCGACGUAUGUAGCUGACAGAUACUAAUCGAUCGAGGACUUAACCUAUUU
rnacentral:rRNA from 1 species